UGGGGAAUUUUGGACAAUGGGGGCAACCCUGAUCCAGCAAUGCCGCGUGUGUGAAGAAGGCCUUCGGGUUGUAAAGCACUUUUGUCCGGAAAGAAAACGCCGUGGUUAAUACCCGUGGCGGAUGACGGUACCGGAAGAAUAAGCACCGGCUAACUACGUGCCAGCAGCCGCGGUAAUACGUAGGGUGCAAGCGUUAAUCGGAAUUACUGGGCGUAAAGCGUGCGCAGGCGGUCCGCUAAGACAGAUGUGAAAUCCCCGGGCUUAACCUGGGAACUGCAUUUGUGACUGGCGGGCUAGAGUAUGGCAGAGGGGGGUAGAAUUCCACGUGUAGCAGUGAAAUGCGUAGAGAUGUGGAGGAAUACCGAUGGCGAAGGCAGCCCCCUGGGCCAAUACUGACGCUCAUGCACGAAAGCGUGGGGAGCAAACAGGAUUAGAUACCCUGGUAGUCCACGCCCUAAACGAUGUCAACUAGUUGUUGGGGAUUCAUUUCCUUAGUAACGUAGCUAACCGC
rnacentral:rRNA from 1 species